CCUACGGGAGGCAGCAGUGGGGAAUAUUGCGCAAUGGGCGAAAGCCUGACGCAGCGACGCCGCGUGAGGGAUGAAGGUCUUCGGAUCGUAAACCUCUGUCAGCAUGGAAGAACGGUCACUGUGCUAAUCAGCAGUGAAUUGACGGUACCUGCAAAGGAAGCACCGGCUAACUCCGUGCCAGCAGCCGCGGUAAUACGGAGGGGGCGAGCGUUAAUCGGAUUGACUGGGCGUAAAGCGCUCGUAGGCGGUAUGUCAAGUCAAGGGUGAAAUCCCCGCGCUCAACGUGGGAACUGCCUUUGAAACUGGCAAACUGGAGUGUGUGAGAGGAUAGUGGAAUUCGAGGUGUAGGAGUGAAAUCCGUAGAUAUCUGGAGGAACAUCAGUGGCGAAGGCGACUAUCUGGCACAUAACUGACGCUGAGGAGCGAAAGCGUGGGUAGCAAACAGGAUUAGAUACCCCAGUAGUC
rnacentral:rRNA from 1 species